CCUACGGGAGGCAGCAGUGGGGAAUUUUGGACAAUGGGCGAAAGCCUGAUCCAGCAAUGCCGCGUGAGUGAAGAAGGCCUUCGGGUUGUAAAGCUCUUUUGUCAGGGAAGAAACGGUGAGGGCUAAUAUCCCUUGCUAAUGACGGUACCUGAAGAAUAAGCACCGGCUAACUACGUGCCAGCAGCCGCGGUAAUACGUAGGGUGCAAGCGUUAAUCGGAAUUACUGGGCGUAAAGCGUGCGCAGGCGGUUUUGUAAGUCUGUCGUGAAAUCCCCGGGCUCAACCUGGGAAUUGCGAUGGAGACUGCAAGGCUAGAAUCUGGCAGAGGGGGGUAGAAUUCCACGUGUAGCAGUGAAAUGCGUAGAGAUGUGGAGGAACACCGAUGGCGAAGGCAGCCCCCUGGGUCAAGAUUGACGCUCAUGCACGAAAGCGUGGGGAGCAAACAGGAUUAGAUACCCUGGUAGUCCACGCCCUAAACGAUGUCUACUAGUUGUCGGGUUUUAAUUAACUUGGUAACGCAGCUAACGCGUGAAGUAGACCGCCUGGGGAGUACGGUCGCAAGAUUAAAACUCAAAUGAAUUGACCGGNUGAGNGNGCGAGAGACACGAGGAGAGG
rnacentral:rRNA from 1 species